rnacentral:rRNA from 1 species
GAUGAACGCUAGCGGCAGGCCUAACACAUGCAAGUCGAGGGAGGAGCCUUCGGGCUUCGACCGGCGUACGGGUGCGUAACGCGUAUACAAUCUGCCUUUCACAUAGGGAUAGCCCGAAGAAAUUUGGAUUAAUACCUAAUGGUAUAUAGAUGUGGCAUCACCUUUAUAUUAAAGCUGAGGCGGUGAAAGAUGAGUAUGCGUUCUAUUAGCUAGUUGGAGAGGUAACGGCUCCCCAAGGCGACGAUAGAUAGGGGUUCUGAGAGGGAUAUCCCCCACACUGGUACUGAGAUACGGACCAGACUCCUACGGGAGGCAGCAGUGAGGAAUAGUGGACAAUGGUCGGAAGACUGAUCCAGCCAUGCCGCGUGCAGGAAGACGGCCUUAUGGGUCGUAAACUGCUUUUGCAGGGGAAGAAUAAGGACUACGCGUAGUUUGAUGACGGUACUCUGCGAAUAAGCAUCGGCUAACUCCGUG